rnacentral:rRNA from 1 species
GACGAACGCUGGCGGUGUGCUUAACACAUGCAAGUCGAACGGAAAGGCCCUGCUUUUGUUGGGUGCUCGAGUGGCGCACGCGUGAGUAACACGUGAGUAACCUGCCCUUGACUUUCGGAUAACUUCACGAAACUGGGGCUCAUACCGGAUAGGAUCUCCUGCUGCAUGGUGGGGGUUGGAAAGUUUCGGCGGUUGGGGAUGGACUCGCGGCUUAUCAGCUUGUUGGUGGGGUAGUGGCGUACCCAGGCUUUGACGGGUAGCCGGCCUGAGAGGGUGACCGGCCACAUGGGGACUGAGAUACGGCGCAGACGGCUACGGGAGGCAGCAGUGGGGAACAUUGCACAAUGGGCGGAAGCCUGAUGCAGCAACGCCGCGUGCGGGAUGACGGCUUUCGGGUUGUAAACCGCUUUCGCCUGUGACGAAGCGUGAGUGACGGUAAUGGGUAAAGAAGCACCGGCUAACUACGUG